CUUAGUUCAGUUGGUAGAACGCAGGUCUCCAAAACCUGAUGUCGGGGGUUCAAGUCCUCCA
rnacentral:tRNA from 1 species